rnacentral:rRNA from 1 species
AUUGAACGCUAGCGGGAUGCCUUACACAUGCAAGUCGAACGGAGUGGCGAACGGGUGAGUAAUGUAUCGGAACGUGCCCAGUAGCGGGGGAUAACUACGCGAAAGCGUCGCUAAUACCGCAUACUAUUGGAGCAGCCGAUAUCGGAUUAGCUAGUUGGUGGGGUAACGGCUUACCAAGGCGACGAUCCGUAACUGGUCUGAGAGGAUGAUCAGUCACACUGGAACUGAGACACGGUCCAGACUCCUACGGGAGGCAGCAGUGGGGAAUAUUGGACAAUGGGGGAAACCCUGAUCCAGCCAUGCCGCGUGUGCGAAGAAGGUCUGCGGAUUGUAAAGCACUUUUGGUAGGAAGGCGGUACCAGCAGAAUAAGCACCGGCUAACUACGUGCCAGCAGCCGCGGUAAUAC